CGCCCCUGUGCGGGCGCCCUCCGCCCAAAUCCCGCGGCCGGGGCGCGCGGGCCGCCGGGCUCGGGGGGUGGAGUCCCUGCCGGGUCGCCGUGAGGCGCGCUGUCCCUUCUUCAGUUCACCGCAGUUCCCGAGCCACACAACACACACAGUCGCGCUGGCGAGGCGCUGGGAGCGGGCGAUCCCGAGGUGACCGAGAACCAGGAGUUGCUGGUGUUGGUACUGAAAGGUCACAGGAUCUUUUCCAGGAGGAGAAUGACAGUACAGCAGCUUACCCUACAAGGACAACAGGAAUGAUAACAGAGCAUCCUAAGUACCAUCUGUGUCUUCAGAGAAAAUAUCUCCAACCAGUCACACUCUGAUGGAGCUCUGCUUUUUGCUUAAGCUAGCUGAGAUGGGUUUUGGUCUACUGCACCUUAAGAGUCCUUACUCUAAUUCACCAAUGAUGAAAGUGUUCUAGAGACCUAGCUCUUCCCAUGGCCCCCAGGCUAGAAUGAAAUCACUGUCUUCUCUGUGCUUUUUACCUUGUUUGCCUUUCAACUAAAGUAUUCUUCAAUACAUUUAUAUGAUUAUAAGUAUGGUGAAUAUUUUCCAAACAAAACCCAGGACACAACUGGACAGUUAUGACUGUACUAACAGGGAUACUGGGCUAUAAUACUGAAAUUAAGAUAGUUCCCAGAAUCCUGUAUGUGGGUUGCAGUUGCUCAUUGGGUACAAAUUUGCCUCUUUCCACCAUAAAUAAUCUAAAAGCUCUAUUUUAAACUCAUCUUUGCAUCCUCCACAGUUAAAUAAAGGGUAAAUUAAUAAAUGACUUAUCUACAA